rnacentral:tRNA from 1 species
GUAGCUCGNNAGCUCGCAAGGCUCAUAACCUUGAGGUCGCGGGUUCAAAUCCCGCCUCC